GGGCGAUUAGCUCAGUUGGUAGAGCAACGCAUUUACACUGCGAAGGUCACAGGUUCGAGUCCUGUAUCGCCCA
rnacentral:tRNA from 1 species